AUACGUAGAUGGCAAGCGUUAUCCGGAAUGACUGGGCGUAAAGGGCGCGUAGGCGGUCUGUUGAGUCUGCUGUGAAAACUCCGGGCUUAACCCGGGGCCUGCAGUUGGUACGGGCAGACUAGAGUGCGGGAGGGGAGACUGGAAUUCCUGGUGUAGCGGUGAAAUGCGCAGAUAUUAGGAGGAACACCAGUGGCGAAGGCGACUUUCUGGGCUGUAACUGACGCUGAGGAACGAAAGCGGGGGGAGCGAACAGGAUUAGAUACCCUGGUAGUCCACGCUGUAAACGAUGAAUGCUAGGUGUGGGGUGUCAAAGCGCCGUGCCGCAGUUAACACAAUAAGCAUUCCGCCUGGGGAGUACGGCCGCAAGGUUGA
rnacentral:rRNA from 1 species